ACCUCCUUCUUCCAAUUAAUGUGACGCACUUUUAAAAAGUUAUCUCGUAAAUUUCUGUUGAGAAUUCGUCGAGGGAUAAGCGUGUGUUUCGACGCGACGCAUUCUCUCUCUCUCUCUCUCUCUCCUUCUCUCUUGUACAUAUACACAUUCAGUCGCGUUAUACAGUCUGUCGCGACGAGAAAUGGCGGAGACACGAGAGAAGGUGGCGGGUCUUUCUACAUUUACUUCUGUCCUACGGAAUCAUUACUACGUCUCGAGUUAAGCGAAGCGAGAACGCCCGUUGACGGCAGCCGUUGAUGCGUUAAAGAUCGUCAAGGCGGCCCAUUCAUAACUCGUGCAUCGUAAUUGACGAGCCAUGUGAAAGGAGGAUCGUCGACGAGCAAAUCUUAUCGCUUGGUAUUAUGAAAAUUUUUGCGUUACGUCUAACGGUUAUUCUGAUAUGAAGUCUUCUGGUAUGAAGUAUUCUGGAAACGAGUCUUGAACGAAGCUCGCGAAAGAAAAGACAUCUUUUUUCUCUUUCUAUUUUUUUUUUUAUUUAUUUAUUAUAUAGACUUCCUUUCGUUAACGUUCGUAAGAUGUUCAUUGAAUAAUACUAGGUGAUUAUUAUAAUUUAUUGUGAAUACGGCCAACUCUUUUGAUAGUAUUAUCAAUGGAAUCAGAAGUUAGAUCGGUUCGAACCGGACAAUUCUGUUCGAACGACAUUAUAAUAAUUUAGCAGCGAACCGUACCGAAGGCAUACGAUUGGCUGGUCGAACAUGCAUGAUCGGUUCGUAUUCGAUGCGAAAUUGAUGCAAUUCAGGAUGGUAGAUGCAAACUGAAUGUGUAGACAUAGAGCGAGAUAGUUAUUGAAUUGUUCUGUUUUUUUCCUCUCUCUCUCUCUCUCUCUCUCUCUCUCUCUGUCGAUAAAAAUAUAAUUUUUGAAUAUAAACGAACAAAUCUCUAGUCCAUUCGUUUAGAAACUCUUGAAAUUACAAAAACAAAUACCUUUUUAUCUCUUUUCUUUUAAACGAACUAAUUUAAAGGCAAAUAGUAUUAAUCGACAUCAAAGGAUCAACAGGGAAGAGAGUCUUUUUUUUUUUUCUUUUUUCCCCGAUAAGAACCAAUAUCCGGCAAUAAAUGUAUUUCGAUUAUCCUUUUAAAAGCUAUUAUAGGAUCAGUGAAGAGUAUUCGCUCGUGCAUUAGCUCGUUUAUACAAUAUUAUAUAAUGUUCUAUCGUACUGUUCUAAUAUAAUAAAAAAUUAAUACUAACGAAAUGAUCGAUCUUGCUCUCGAAGAUAUUCUGUUAAUUGAGCCGGUAAGUUGGCAUAAAGGAAAGAAAACGAUAUAGAAAGUAAUCUUAACGGUGCAACUGUGCAAAGGUGAAGGGAAACGUUCUAGUUUUCAAGAUGAAAAUAGAAUCCUGAAACGAUCAAAGAUUUCACGGGAUAAUAAAUACGAUUGUAUCGAUGGUACUCGAAAAUGUAACGGUGAUGUUGCCAAUUAAGCGAAGACUAAACUCUACUUGAUUUGCCUUUCGUUCUAUAUAUAUAUAUACGUAUGUAGUAUAUAAGUAGUAUAUAUCUAUAUGGUUUAAUCUUGAACAGUCAUAUUGAUUUAUCAGAUUCUCGGUAAUCGUACUCUACGUUCAAUGGACUUUGAUAUACUCCGAUAUGUUCUCUACAACAGGAAAAAUUAUAUACAUAUAUAAAAUAUAUUACAUAUAUGUAUGUAUAUAUACUGUGUAUAUAUACAUAUAUAGUAUAUAUGUAUAUGUCUGGAUACAUGUAUGUGUGUAUGUAUAUAUAUAUGUGUAUAGAUACUGUAUGCGGUGCUACUCAGUUACCGAUCGUUCGCACCGUUUCACCUCUUCUCAUCCUUUUCCCUCUGUUCCUCCUCCAGCUCGUUCCUUCCUGACAACGUGUAUCCGGUUACACCCCUAAACCCUCGCAGCUUGGUGUUAAAUGUGAGCUGACAGAAACACGUGUAACUUUCAAUUGACUGAGCAGUCACUUGAAGAUUUGCAACGGGGUUCCUUAAUUGGGUUAAACGAAUUUGGUCGGAUCGUGUGCACUGUCCACGAGUAUAUAUACACAUACGCCCCCUAACGCGUUUUACCAAAGUAAGAGUUUAAGAGCCGAAGGACGGCUUCGUAUUGUGUAUUGGUGCGAUAAGACGAGUGGGACGACGUUGGUUAUUCUAAAGGGUUGUAACAUUUUCGAAGGGUCGAAAUUAAAGACAGGCACACGUAGGAUAAACGAACCCCUCCAACGAAAUCUAUUUCGACGCUCCAUUGGUGUACGAUUGUAAAAAUGAAAAAAAAAAUGAAAGGGUUACGAGGAUAAAUGGGGUGUACGAUCUGAUUUACUCUGCUGAGAAAAGAAAAAACAUAGAAGAAAAAAGAAUACAAUUCAAGGAAUCUUUGUUAUAUUCGGGGUAACGAAAUAUAAUCGCCGAAAGAGAUAGAUUUUAUUUUAAUCAAAGACGUUCUACAGUCGAUAUUGCUAUUUCGUAGGGAAAAGUGUUCAGACUGGAAGUUAAAGCAUUUUCAAUAUCAACAUCUCGUCGUAGUCGUGGUGUAUCAUCGAAUUGAAAAAGAGGAAACGACGAGGUAGAGGGUUGGAGUGAGAGCGAAUUCGAGACAAGCGACCGUCUGUCUAUCUAUCUGUCUGUCUGUCUGUAUGUCUGUCUGUCUGUCUGGCUGGCUGGCUGGCUGGCUGGCUGGCUGGCUGGCUGGCUGCUUGGCUGGGCUGACUGACUGGCGGAGGAGGAUUCGUUAUGAGGCAAGGCUUCCCUUGCUUUAAUGGAAUAAAGCACCGGAAAAAAAGUACCGCCUUCCUCUCGCGGGAUUCCGCUUGUAAACGAUAUUAUUACGAGGUCGCGCUUAAAUAUCUCUGUGCCUUCAUCAUCCUGCCGAGGACUUUCUAUUUAGUUUGAUGGCGUAGAAAGGGGAUGAAGUUUUCGCCCUCCCCGAUACCGGCCACCUCUUUAUAAUCCAUGCUUCAUUCGGCAUGUAAUAUCGUUGAAUGCUUUUAGAAGGAAUAUACAUACAUACAUAUAUGCAUAUAUACGUCCAUACAUAUAUACAUAUAUAUAUAUAUACAUAUAUUUUAAAUGAACAGAUUCGAAUGCUAUUUACUAAUAAAAUCGUUAUGAAAUGAGAAAAUACGUUCGUGGUUUCUCUUUUGUUUCUAUUAUUUAUAUUUUUUGAAUCAACGAAUUUAUUAUUUAUAAAUUGAUUCUUGAAAUCUAUAGCAAUAUAAGAAUAAGACAAAGAAUGAUUGAAUCGAUAAGAAAGAAAAUGACAAAUGUAUAGAAGAUUUAUAAAAAGUGAUAUAUAAUCGUGCGAAUAGAACAAAAUGGGAAACGAAUUGAAAAGAGAUAUGAUUGAUUACGAGAAAUGUUUUAAAAAUCAUUAUCGUCAAGAUAUAUCAUCUUUCGAUGGUUCUAUUAUCUUUAAUAUGAUUUGUUACACAAGUAAUAACGAAAAUGGUUUCAUAUCAAAAUAAAGAAUGAAAUAAUUCGAAGAACAACAGAACGAAAUAAUUCGAAGAACAAGAGAACGAAGAAAAAGAAUACGUCGAAGUAACGAAGAAACUUUUCGAGCAUCCUUCAAAUUUUGAUAGAAAAAUUGUGUUUAAUAUCUGCGACAUUAUUAUUGUCGAUCGAUUGAAUUCUUUGAUUUAUACAUCGAAGAUUCUAUAAUUUAAGUGAAAAACAAGAAAGUCUAUCGAUAGAAAAUAAAUUGUCAAUUCCCUUUAAAUUUAUUUUAAUUAAUUUUAUGGAUGACAGAAAUGAGCGAAAAUCGUUUGCAAAUAAAAUGUAAUAUUACACUUAUUUCCAGACAGUUUUAUCGUAUGGGUAAUGAUUUUCAACCGCGACUCGUUUGUUAUAUACGUAAUUAUAUUCUAUAGGUUACGUUAAUUAAUAAACAGUAAUGGCUGUGUAAUAAAGGUUAUGAAGCUGCCACGUCGAUUUAAUUGCAAGCACUAUAUGUUCUACCCGGCUCGAGGACAUUUUUAUACGUACUAACGCGUCGGAAGUACUUCGUUAGCUCGAGUAUUAAUCGAGACAGUCGUAUGUUGCUAAUAUAUACUUACUACAGGAGAUUAGGAUUAAUGGAAAAGUAAAUAUUUUAUAGCAUUAGUUAAUCGUAUAUGAUUUAGUUAGUAAAAAAAUCUCUGAACGAUUUUGAUCCAAGUUUUGAAAUAUUUGACUUUAAAUUAAUGUAACCAAUAUAUUUACGAAAAGUACGAAGAUUGACCCUUUGAAUGUAAGCGAACAAUCGGGGUGACUUCGAUAAGAUCCCUUUCGCUUUGCUCGUGCAAAACAGAAUCGUAAAGUUCACUGGUUGUACGGCCUUGGAACGUCGUAUAGUAAAUUGAUAGCGAUAAGAUCUGCUCGUCUCUUGGUUUAUUUGGUCGUAGAGACACGACUCCGAGGGCUGUGGCUAUGUACCGGCCAAAUGGCAAGAUUAUUUUAAGGCGUAUCUCGCUCUUAUGCGAUUUCACGAAGCACCGUCAACGAGAAGAACCUCGACGUCUGUGGUUUUCACUAAGACCCAGAGUAAGAUUCACCAUGAAGAAGAGAGUACUUUCGACGUAAGAAAAAGAACCGUGUCUGCUGAUGGUUUCUUUGCGAUAUCUUUCCGGAGCCAACUCGCAACCAGUAUUCAAGGAAAAGCCAUUGCGAGAGCCAUUUUCCGUGAACAGUGAGAGAUGUCGCCUUUGAGAUAGACCACAGACCUCUGCGAAUAAACGAACCAUACUUGUCUAGGGGGUUUAAGGAAGUUGCUACUCAGUCAGUUUCUUAACUCUUAACAGGGCAGCGGACCGUCCUUGGAACAUUUUGUACGUUUCGUUAUAAUCUAUUAGAAUUGGAUUUUAACUUUGAACUUACUAUCGAACUCAAUACAGAUCCAAUGAGAUCUUUUAAAAUACUUUUUUGCAUAAGAAAAUCGAGAGAUAAGGUGUCGGGUAGUAACGCGAAAACUUCUCUUAUCAUUAUCGAACUUGGUUUAAGAAAUCUUGUUAAGAAGAUCUUUCCAAGGAUUUAAUUCGAUA